GUGAAUCAUCGAAUCUUUGAACGCACAUUGCACUUUCUGGUAUCCCGGAAAGUAUGCCUGUUUGAGUAUCAAUAACACCCAUCUCACCCGACAUGUUGUUUUGGAAACAAAACGACGCGACGGUUGAGGAUUUGGAGCGUCCGGAAGUCCCGCUGUUCAGUCAGCGAACCCCGGUGCUCUUAAAAACAGCUGUUUCUGUGGAGAGACGCUAGUUGGUUCUUCAAGUCCCAAAGAUUAGCCUUCUUCAACAAGUUAUGAUUACAAUAGGACCGUGGUCCUUUUUAAUCACUUCCUCUGUUG
rnacentral:misc_RNA from 1 species